CCCUGACAAAACAGACCGCGCACGCGUUAUCUAACCUGCCUAGCGGCGGCAUCGUCCGUCGCCUGGCCAAGUCCUCGACAACCUCCCCUCCUCGGAGUGGGGGCUCGGGGUAAAAGAACCCACGGCGCCGAAGGCGUCAAGGAACACUAUGCCUAGCCCGGGGACGCGGUUGGCUUGCUGGCCGCCCCUCGUGCUACAAAGCUAUUUAAUCCACACGACUCUCGGCAACGGAUAUCUCGGCUCUCGCAUCGAUGAAGAACGUAGCGAAAUGCGAUACCUGGUGUGAAUUGCAGAAUCCCGCGAACCAUCGAGUCUUUGAACGCAAGUUGCGCCCGAGGCCAUUCGGCCGAGGGCACGCCUGCCUGGGCGUCACGCUAAACACGCUCCCACCCCCACCUCUGGGUGUGGGAUGCGGCAUGUGGCCCCCCGUCACGCAAGGGGCGGUGGGCCGAAGAUAUGGCUGCUGGCGUAUCGUGCCGGACACAGCGCGUGGUAGGCGACCUCGCUUUACUUACCGCAGUGCAUCUGGACCGUAGCCAGCAUGAUGGCCUUGAAAGACCCCUUUGAACGGUGCGCAUGACGCUCCGACC
rnacentral:misc_RNA from 1 species